UCUUUUUUUAUCGCGUCACGCGACGACGGGGUAAAAUAAUGGGAGAAGGCGUAUUUUAUUUUUAUUGUUUUUGACGGUCGGUGGUAGUUUUAUGCCGUGGUAAACCGGGGAUUCACGUUGGGUGAACUCCGAGGGGUUGAAUCACAGAGAAUGGAGCUGGAGGGGAAGGCAUAAGGAGAAACGGGGUACAGAACAUGUCGGAUGCGAUCAUACCAGCACUAAAGCACCGGAUCCCAUCAGAACUCCGAAGUUAAGCGUGCUUGGCCAGAGUAGUACUAGGAUGGGUGACCUCCUGGGAAGUCCUCGUGUUGCAUCCC
rnacentral:rRNA from 1 species